rnacentral:tRNA from 1 species
GACCAGGAUCGUGAAGAUCUUGUCGGUCUUCUCGCGGCCGAGCUCGACGUACUUGCCGGUGCCGUUCCUGCCUUUGCCC